AGAGCGAACGCUGGCGGCAUGCUUAACACAUGCAAGUCGCACGGUUAUUGCCAGCAAUGGUGAUGGCAGUGGCGGACGGGUGAGUAACGCGUAGGAAUCUAUCCAUGGGUGGGGGAUAACGUCGGGAAACUGACGCUAAUACCGCAUGAUGCCUGAGGGCCAAAGGUCGCAAGACCGUCUGUGGAGGAGCCUGCGUUCGAUUAGCUUGUUGGUGGGGUAAUGGCCUACCAAGGCGACGACGGGUA
rnacentral:rRNA from 1 species